rnacentral:tRNA from 1 species
GGCCCUGUCGUCUAGUUCGGUCCAGGACAUCAGGUUUUCAUCCUGAAAACACGGGUUCAAAUCCCGUCGGGGCUA